rnacentral:rRNA from 1 species
GCGACCUCAGCUCAGGCGGGGCUACCCGCUGAGUUUAAGCAUAUCAAUAAGCGGAGGAAAAGAAACUA